UCGCCUCUUUGACUUCUGGGAUAAGCGCUAGAAAUGGCGUCUAAUACCGGAUACGAGCUUCAGCCGCAUGGCUAGGAGUUCGGAAAGAAUUUUCGGUCAAGGAUGGACUCGCGGCCUAUCAGCUAGUCGGUGAGGUAAUGGCUCACCAAGGCGACGACGGGUAGCCGGCCUGAGAGGGUGACCGGCCACACUUGGGACUUGAGACACGGCCCAGACUCCUACGGGAGGCAGCAGUUCGGGAAUACUGCACAAUGGGCGAAAGCCUGAUGCAGCAACGCCGCGUGAGGGAUGACGGCCUUUCGGGUUGUAAACCUCUUUUAGUAGGGAAGAAGCGAAAGUGACGGUACCUGCAGAAAAAGCACCGGCUAACUACGUG
rnacentral:rRNA from 1 species